rnacentral:rRNA from 1 species
UACAGAGGGGGCAAGCGUUAUUCGGAAUUAUUGGGCGUAAAGGGCGCGUAGGCGGCCUGGCAAGUGGAAGGUGAAAUCCCUCGGCUUAACCGAGGAACUGCCCUCCAAACUGCUUGGCUUGAGUCCGGGAGAGGUGAGUGGAAUUCCCAGUGUAGCGGUGAAAUGCGUAGAUAUUGGGAGGAACACCAGUGGCGAAGGCGGCUCACUGGACCGGAACUGACGCUGAGGAGCGAAAGCGUGGGGAGCAAACGGG